rnacentral:rRNA from 1 species
UGGGGAAUAUUGCACAAUGGGCGGAAGCCUGAUGCAGCAACGCCGCGUGAGUGAUGAAGGCCUUCGGGUUGUAAAGCUCUGUCUUUUGGGACGAUAAUGACGGUACCAAAGGAGGAAGCCACGGCUAACUACGUGCCAGCAGCCGCGGUAAUACGUAGGUGGCAAGCGUUGUCCGGAUUUACUGGGCGUAAAGGAUGCGUAGGCGGAUUUUUAAGUGAGAUGUGAAAUACCCGGGCUUAACUUGGGUGCUGCAUUUCAAACUGGGAAUCUAGAGUGCGGGAGAGGAGAAAUGGAAUUCCUAGUGUAGCGGUGAAAAUGCGUAGAGAUUAGGAAGAACACCAGUGGCGAAAGGCGAUUCUCUGGACCGUAAACUGACGCUGAGGCAUGAAAAGCGUGGGUAGCAAAACAGGAUUAGAUACCCUGGUAGUCCACG